ACGAAGGGUGCAAGCGUUACUCGGAAUUACUGGGCGUAAAGCGUGCGUAGGUGGUUUGUUAAGUCUGAUGUGAAAGCCCUGGGCUCAACCUGGGAACGGCAUUGGAUACUGGCUUACUAGAGUGCGGUAGAGGGUAGUGGAAUUCCCGGUGUAGCAGUGAAAUGCGUAGAUAUCUGGAGGAACACCGGUGGCGAAAGCGGCUCACUGGACCGUCACUGACGCUGAGGUGCGAAAGCUAGGGUAGCAAACGGGA
rnacentral:rRNA from 1 species